UAAUACUGGAUAUGAGACGUGAUCGCAUGGUCGUGUUUGGAAAGAUUUUUCGGUCUGGGAUGGGCUCGCGGCCUAUCAGCUUGUUGGUGAGGUAAUGGCUCACCAAGGCGUCGACGGGUAGCCGGCCUGAGAGGGUGACCGGCCACACUGGGACUGAGACACGGCCCAGACUCCUACGGGAGGCAGCAGUGGGGAAUAUUGCACAAUGGGCGAAAGCCUGAUGCAGCAACGCCGCGUGAGGGAUGACGGCCUUCGGGUUGUAAACCUCUUUUAGCAGGGAAGAAGCGAAAGUGACGGUACCUGCAGAAAAAGCGCCGGCUAACUACGUGCCAGCAGCCGCGGUAAUACGUAGGGCGCAAGCGUUAUCCGGAAUUAUUGGGCGUAAAGAGCUCGUAGGCGGUUUGUCGCGUCUGCUGUGAAAUCCCGAGGCUCAACCUCGGGCCUGCAGUGGGUACGGGCAGACUAGAGUGCGGUAGGGGAGAUUGGAAUUCCUGGUGUAGCGGUGGAAUGCGCAGAUAUCAGGAGGAACACCGAUGGCGAAGGCAGAUCUCUGGGCCGUAACUGACGCUGAGGAGCGAAAGGGUGGGGAGCAAACAGGCUUAGAUACCCUGGUAGUCCACCCCGUAAACGUUGGGAACUAGUUGUGGGGACCAUUCCACGGUUUCCGUGACGCAGCUAACGCAUUAAGUUCCCCGCCUGGGGAGUACGGCCGCAAGGCUAAAACUCAAAGGAAUUGACGGGGACCCGCACAAGCGGCGGAGCAUGCGGAUUAAUUCGAUGCAACGCGAAGAACCUUACCAAGGCUUGACAUAUACGAGAACGGGCCAGAAAUGGUCAACUCUUUGGACACUCGUAAACAGGUGGUGCAUGGUUGUCGUCAGCUCGUGUCGUGAGAUGUUGGGUUAAGUCCCGCAACGAGCGCAACCCUCGUUCUAUGUUGCCAGCACGUAAUGGUGGGAACUCAUGGGAUACUGCCGGGGUCAACUCGGAGGAAGGUGGGGAUGACGUCAAAUCAUCAUGCCCCUUAUGUCUUGGGCUUCACGCAUGCUACAAUGGCCGGUACAAAGGGCUGCAAUACCGUGAGGUGGAGCGAAUCCCAAAAAGCCGGUCCCAGUUCGGAUUGAGGUCUGCAACUCGACCUCAUGAAGUCGGAGUCGCUAGUAAUCGCAGAUCAGCAACGCUGCGGUGAAUACGUUCCCGGGUCUUGUACACACCG
rnacentral:rRNA from 1 species